rnacentral:rRNA from 1 species
AUUGAACGCUGGCGGCAGGCCUAACACAUGCAAGUCGAGCGGGGUUUUCGGACCUAGCGGCGGACGGGUGAGUAAUGCGUAGGAAGCUACCCGAUAGAGGGGGAUACCAGUUGGAAACGACUGUUAAUACCGCAUAAUGUCUACGGACCAAAGUGUGGGACCUUCGGGCCACAUGCUAUCGGAUGCGCCUACGUGGGAUUAGCUAGUUGGUGAGGUAAUGGCUCACCAAGGCGACGAUCCCUAGCUGGUUUGAGAGGAUGAUCAGCCACACUGGAACUGAGACACGGUCCAGACUCCUACGGGAGGUAGCAGUGGGGAAUAUUGGACAAUGGGCGCAAGCCUGAUCCAGCCAUGCCGCGUGUGUGGAGAAGGCCUUCGGGUUGUAAAGCACUGUCAGUAGGGAGGAAGCGUUGUGUGUUAAUAGUACACAGCGUUGACGUUACCUACAGAAGAAGCACCGGCUAACUCUGUGCCAGCCGCCGCCGUAACAC